rnacentral:rRNA from 1 species
AUGCAGUCGUACGCUUCUUUUUCCACCGGAGCUUGCUCCACCGGAAAAAGAGGAGUGGCGAACGGGUGAGUAACACGUGGGUAACCUGCCCAUCAGAAGGGGAUAACACUUGGAAACAGGUGCUAAUACCGUAUAACAAUCGAAACCGCAUGGUUUUGAUUUGAAAGGCGCUUUCGGGUGUCGCUGAUGGAUGGACCCGCGGUGCAUUAGCUAGUUGGUGAGGUAACGGCUCACCAAGGCCACGAUGCAUAGCCGACCUGAGAGGGUGAUCGGCCACAUUGGGACUGAGACACGGCCCAAACUCCUACGGGAGGCAGCAGUAGGGAAUCUUCGGCAAUGGACGAAAGUCUGACCGAGCAACGCCGCGUGAGUGAAGAAGGUUUUCGGAUCGUAAAACUCUGUUGUUAGAGAAGAAUAAGGAUGAGAGUAACUGUUCAUCCCUUGACGGUAUCUAACCAGAAAGCCACGGCUAACUACGUGCCAGCAGCCGCGGUAAUACGUAGGUGGCAAGCGUUGUCCGGAUUUAUUGGGCGUAAAGCGAGCGCAGGCGGUUUCUUAAGUCUGAUGUGAAAGCCCCCGGCUCAACCGGGGAGGGUCAUUGGAAACUGGGAGACUUGAGUGCAGAAGAGGAGAGUGGAAUUCCAUGUGUAGCGGUGAAAUGCGUAGAUAUAUGGAGGAACACCAGUGGCGAAGGCGGCUCUCUGGUCUGUAACUGACGCUGAGGCUCGAAAGCGUGGGGGAGCAAACAGGAUUAGAUACCCUGGUAGUCCACGCCGUACACGAUGAGUGCUAAGUGUUGGAAGGGUUUCCGCCCCUUCAGUGCUGCCGCUUA